UCCUACGGGAGGCAGCAGUGAGGAAUAUUGGUCAAUGGCCGGAAGGCUGAACCAGCCAAGCCGCGUGAAGGACGAAGGUGCCAAGCAUUGUAAACUUCUUUUGUCAAGGGACAAAAUCAGGCUCGAGAGCCUGACCGAGGGUACUUGAAGAAAAAGCAUCGGCUAACUCCGUGCCAGCAGCCGCGGUAAUACGUAAGGGGCAAGCGUUAUCCGGAAUUACUGGGUGUAAAGGGAGCGUAGACGGCAAUGCAAGUCCGGAGUGGAAUGCGGCAGCUCAACUGCCGAACUGCUCUGGAAACUGUAUG
rnacentral:rRNA from 1 species